rnacentral:lncRNA from 1 species
GGCUCUUCCCGGAAGAAGAUGGAAGAGGAACAUUUUAAAUGAAUUCAGAACAUCAGGCCAGCACGACCACACACACCACCGAAGACACGAGAGAACACUUACAGAACUGCUUCAGACAGAGGCGAGGACACCGAGACAGGCAGGACUAGACAACAAGCAGAAGGACAGUGGCGCCUGACAGACCUGAGAUCUGCCUUCGCUUGUGAAGCCCUCUGCACGGAGCCAUGCACUGCAGCCCGAGGCCCCUGUGCCUGGAU